rnacentral:rRNA from 1 species
UGUCUUUUUGAAAAUAAUAUAAAGUCUAAUCUGCCCACUGAUUUAAUAAUUGAAGGGCUGCAGUAUAUUGACUGUACAAAGGUAGCAUAAUCAUUAGUCAUUUAAUUGGUGGCUUGUAUGAAAGAUUGGAUGAAAUAUAAACUGUCUCUUAAUUAAAUAUAGAAUUUAAUUUUUUAAUUAAAAAGUUAAAAUAAAAUAAAAAGACGAGAAGACCCUAUAGAGUUUUAUAAUUAAUUUAAUUAAGGUUAUUAUUUGAUUUAAAAAUUAAAAUUAAAUUAUUUAUUUUGUUGGGGUGAUAGAAAAAUAUAUUUAACUUUUUUUAAAUUAAAAACAUUUAUAAGUGAUUAAAUGAUCCAAUAUUAUUGAUUAUAAGAAAAAAUUACCUUAGGGAUAACAGCGUAAUUUUUUUUUUUAGUUCAAAUAAGAAAAAGAGUUUGCGACCUCGAUGUUGGAUUAAGAUAAAAUUUAAAUGCAGAAG